AUUGAACGCUGGCGGCAUGCUUUACACAUGCAAGUCGAACGGCAGCACGGGCUUCGGCCUGGUGGCGAGUGGCGAACGGGUGAGUAAUAUACCCGAACGUACCCAGACUUUGGGGAUAACGUAGCGACAGUUACGCUAAUCCCGCAUCCGAUCUUUUGUUGAAAGCCGGGGACCGCAAGGCCUUGUGCUUCUUGCGCGGCCGAUAUCUGAUUAGCUAGUUGGUGAGGUAAAGGCUUACCAAGGCGACGAACCGUAGCUGGUCUGAGAGGACGACCAGCCACACUGGAACUGAGACACGGUCCAGACUCCUACGGGAGGCAGCAGUGGGGAAUCUUACACAAUGGGCGAAAGCCUGAUCCAGCAAUGCCGCGUGAGUGAAGAAGGCCUUCGGGUUGUAAAGCUCUGUUGUCAGGGAAGAAACGAUGGAGGCUAAUAUCCGAUGCUAAUGACGGUACCUGAAGAAUAAGCACCGGCUAACUACGUG
rnacentral:rRNA from 1 species